UUUGGUUAAGUUAGAAAGGGCGCACGGUGGAUGCCUUGACACUAGGAGUCGAUGAAGGACGGGACUAACGCCGAUAUGCUUCGGGGAGCUGUAAGUAAGCUUUGAUCCGAAGAUUUCCGAAUGGGGAAACCCACCAUACGUAAUGGUAUGGUAUCCUUAUCUGAAUACAUAGGGUAAGGAAGACAGACCCAGGGAACUGAAACAUCUAAGUACCUGGAGGAAGAGAAAGCAAAUGCGAUUUCCUGAGUAGCGGCGAGCGAAACGGAACAUAGCCCAAACCAAGAGGCUUGCCUCUUGGGGUUGUAGGACAUUCUAUACGGAGUUACAAAGGAACGAGGUAGACGAAGCGACCUGGAAAGGUCCGUCGUAGAGGGUAACAACCCCGUAGUCGAAACUUCGUUCUCUCUUGAAUGUAUCCUGAGUACGGCGGAACACGUGAAAUUCCGUCGGAAUCUGGGAGGACCAUCUCCCAAGGCUAAAUACUCCCUAGUGAUCGAUAGUGAACCAGUACCGUGAGGGAAAGGUGAAAAGCACCCCGGAAGGGGAGUGAAAGAGAUCCUGAAACCGUGUGCCUACAAAUAGUCAGAGCCCGUUAACGGGUGAUGGCGUGCCUUUUGUAGAAUGAACCGGCGAGUUACGAUCCCGUGCGAGGUUAAGCUGAAGAGGCGGAGCCGCAGCGAAAGCGAGUCUGAAUAGGGCGUUUAGUACGUGGUCGUAGACCCGAAACCAGGUGAUCUACCCAUGUCCAGGGUGAAGUUCAGGUAACACUGAAUGGAGGCCCGAACCCACGCACGUUGAAAAGUGCGGGGAUGAGGUGUGGGUAGCGGAGAAAUUCCAAUCGAACCUGGAGAUAGCUGGUUCUCCCCGAAAUAGCUUUAGGGCUAGCCUUAAGUGUAAGAGUCUUGGAGGUAGAGCACUGAUUGGACUAGGGGUCCUCAUCGGAUUACCGAAUUCAGUCAAACUCCGAAUGCCAAUGACUUAUCCUUAGGAGUCAGACUGCGAGUGAUAAGAUCCGUAGUCAAAAGGGAAACAGCCCAGACCGCCAGCUAAGGUCCCAAAGUGUGUAUUAAGUGGAAAAGGAUGUGGAGUUGCUUAGACAACUAGGAUGUUGGCUUAGAAGCAGCCACCAUUUAAAGAGUGCGUAAUAGCUCACUAGUCGAGUGACUCUGCGCCGAAAAUGUACCGGGGCUAAAUACACCACCGAAGCUGCGGAUUGAUACCAAUGGUAUCAGUGGUAGGGGAGCGUUCUAAGGACAGUGAAGUCAGACCGGAAGGACUGGUGGAGUGCUUAGAAGUGAGAAUGCCGGUAUGAGUAGCGAAAGACGGGUGAGAAUCCCGUCCACCGAAUGCCUAAGGUUUCCUGAGGAAGGCUCGUCCGCUCAGGGUUAGUCAGGACCUAAGCCGAGGCCGACAGGCGUAGGCGAUGGACAACAGGUUGAUAUUCCUGUACCACCUCUUUAUCGUUUGAGCAAUGGAGGGACGCAGAAGGAUAGAAGAAGCGUGCGAUUGGUUGUGCACGUCCAAGCAGUUAGGCUGAUAAGUAGGCAAAUCCGCUUAUCGUAAAGGCUGAGCUGUGAUGGGGAAGCUCCUUAUGGAGCGAAGUCUUUGAUUCCCCGCUGCCAAGAAAAGCUUCUAGCGAGAUAAAAGGUGCCUGUACCGCAAACCGACACAGGUAGGCGAGGAGAGAAUCCUAAGGUGUGCGAGAGAACUCUGGUUAAGGAACUCGGCAAAAUGACCCCGUAACUUCGGGAGAAGGGGUGCUUUCUUAACGGAAAGCCGCAGUGAAUAGGCCCAAGCGACUGUUUAGCAAAAACACAGCUCUCUGCGAAGCCGUAAGGCGAAGUAUAGGGGGUGACACCUGCCCGGUGCUGGAAGGUUAAGGAGAGGGGUUAGCGUAAGCGAAGCUCUGAACUGAAGCCCCAGUAAACGGCGGCCGUAACUAUAACGGUCCUAAGGUAGCGAAAUUCCUUGUCGGGUAAGUUCCGACCCGCACGAAAGGUGUAACGAUUUGGGCACUGUCUCAACCAGAGACUCGGUGAAAUUAUAGUACCUGUGAAGAUGCAGGUUACCCGCGACAGGACGGAAAGACCCCGUGGAGCUUUACUGUAGCCUGAUAUUGAAUUUUGGUACAGUUUGUACAGGAUAGGCGGGAGCCAUUGAAACCGGAGCGCUAGCUUCGGUGGAGGCGCUGGUGGGAUACCGCCCUGACUGUAUUGAAAUUCUAACCUACGGGUCUUAUCGACCCGGGAGACAGUGUCAGGUGGGCAGUUUGACUGGGGCGGUCGCCUCCUAAAGUGUAACGGAGGCGCCCAAAGGUUCCCUCAGAAUGGUUGGAAAUCAUUCGUAGAGUGCAAAGGCAUAAGGGAGCUUGACUGCGAGACCUACAAGUCGAGCAGGGACGAAAGACGGGCUUAGUGAUCCGGUGGUUCCGCAUGGAAGGGCCAUCGCUCAACGGAUAAAAGCUACCCCGGGGAUAACAGGCUUAUCUCCCCCAAGAGUCCACAUCGACGGGGAGGUUUGGCACCUCGAUGUCGGCUCAUCGCAUCCUGGGGCUGUAGUCGGUCCCAAGGGUUGGGCUGUUCGCCCAUUAAAGCGGUACGCGAGCUGGGUUCAGAACGUCGUGAGACAGUUCGGUCCCUAUCCGUCGCGGGCGUAGGAAAUUUGAGAGGAGCUGUCCUUAGUACGAGAGGACCGGGAUGGACACACCGCUGGUGUACCAGUUGUUCUGCCAGGGGCAUAGCUGGGUAGCUAUGUGCGGAAGGGAUAAGUGCUGAAAGCAUCUAAGCAUGAAGCCCCCCUCAAGAUGAGAUUUCCCAUAGCGUAAGCUAGUAAGAUCCCUGAAAGAUGAUCAGGUUGAUAGGUUCGAGGUGGAAGCAUGGUGACAUGUGGAGCUGACGAAUACUAAUAGAUCGAGGACUUAACCAUAUAAUAUGUA
rnacentral:rRNA from 1 species